rnacentral:rRNA from 1 species
CAUGCAAGUCGAGCGGAUGAGUGGAGCUUGCUCCAUGAUUCAGCGGCGGACGGGUGAGUAAUGCCUAGGAAUCUGCCUGGUAGUGGGGGACAACGUUUCGAAAGGAACGCUAAUACCGCAUACGUCCUACGGGAGAAAGCAGGGGACCUUCGGGCCUUGCGCUAUCAGAUGAGCCUAGGUCGGAUUAGCUAGUUGGUGAGGUAAUGGCUCACCAAGGCGACGAUCCGUAACUGGUCUGAGAGGAUGAUCAGUCACACUGGAACUGAGACACGGUCCAGACUCCUACGGGAGGCAGCAGUGGGGAAUAUUGGACAAUGGGCGAAAGCCUGAUCCAGCCAUGCCGCGUGUGUGAAGAAGGUCUUCGGAUUGUAAA